GAUGAACGCUGGCGGCGUGCUUAACACAUGCAAGUCGAACGAUUAAAGCCCCUUCGGGGGUGUAUAGAGUGGCGAACGGGUGAGUAACACGUGGGCAAUCUGCCCCUCACUCUGGGAUAACUCAGGGAAACCUGAGCUAAUACCGGAUACUCCGGACUGAUCGCAUGGUCGGUCCGGGAAAGCUCCGACGGUGAGGGAUGAGCCCGCGGCCCAUUAGCUUGUUGGUGAGGUAACGGCUCACCAAGGCGACGAUGGGUAGCCGCGCUGAGAGGCGGAUCGGCCACACUGGGACUGAGACACGGCCCAGACUCCUACGGGAGGCAGCAGUGGGGAAUUUUGCGCAAUGGGCGAAAGCUUGACGCAGCAACGCCGCGUGCGGGAUGAAGGCCUUCGGGUUGUAAACCGCUUUCAGCAGGGAUGAAAUUGACAGUACCUGCAGAAGAAGCCCCGGCUAACUACGUGCCAGCCGCCGCCGUAAGAC
rnacentral:rRNA from 1 species